ensembl:miRNA
AAAGGUGCUGCACAUGUUACCAGCGACCCUGCUAGCCUUGUCCUCUUUCUUUGCUUCCUUCUUUUUGAAAGAUCAAGAAUGAAGCAGGGAAAGGAACAAGGAGGGACAGGUAAAGGAUUCUGGUGGUUUACGGCUUCCU